UACGUAGGGGGCAAGCGUUGUCCGGAUUUAUUGGGCGUAAAGAGCGUGUAGGCGGCCUGAAAGGUCAGCUGUGAAAACUCGAGGCUCAACCUCGAGACGUCGGUUGAAACCAUCUGGCUAGAGUCCGGAAGAGGAGAGUGGAAUUCCCGGUGUAGCGGUGAAAUGCGCAGAUAUCGGGAAGAACGCCCGUGGCGAAGGCGGCUCUCUGGGACGGUACUGACGCUGAGACGCGAAAGCGUGGGGAGCGAACAGG
rnacentral:rRNA from 1 species